rnacentral:rRNA from 1 species
GACAGAGGUGCCGAGCGUUAGGCGGAAUCACUGGGCUUAAAGGGUGCGUAGGUGGGCAGGUAAGUCAGUGGUGAAAUCUCCGGGCUUAACCCGGAAACUGCCGUUGAUACUAUCUGUCUUGAAUAUAGUGGAGGUGAGCGGAAUAUGUCAUGUAGCGGUGAAAUGCUUAGAUAAGACAUAGAACAUCGAUUGCGAAGGCAGCUCGCUACGCUAUUAUUGACACUGAGGCACGAAAGCGUGGGGAGCAAACAGG